AGCUGGAGUUGCUAGUAAUCGCGAAUCAGAAUGUCGCGGUGAAUACGUUCCCGGGUCUUGUACACACCGCCCGUCACACCAUGGGAGUUGGGAAUGCCCGAAGCCGGUGACCUAACCGAAAGGGAGGAGCCGUCGAAGGCAGGCUUGAUAACUGGGGUGAAGUCGUAACAAGGUACC
rnacentral:rRNA from 1 species